rnacentral:lncRNA from 1 species
UUUUUCUAGACCAUAGGAAUUGGCGAGUUCCGACACACCGGACAAGUAGGAUGCACCUUCAACCACGUAUCUACACAACUCACAUGAAACAAGUGCCCACAUUCGGGCAACAACCUAAGUACAUCGGCCGGGUUAUAGUCAGCCAAGCAGAUCGAGCAACCAGAGUUGUUCGUGUCAUCAGUUGAGGCGUCUCCUUUACGAGGCAUCAAGGCCUCAGAAUAAACAAACGUUGGAAAAGUCACGAGAACAUCGUCCGCAAGUCCUUGAGAGAAUGUUAUGAGGUGGUGGUCAUCGUGUGCAUGGUGGUGAUUGGCUGUGGUACCAAAAGAGAUAGUUGUAUUAGCUCGUGGUGGUGGGCGAAAGCGCGUGCUACUUUUAUAGAUGUAAGACCCGUAGCAUAGGGUGACGACAAGGAAGAUGACUACUAGGAAGAACCCGAGGCCGUAGGGGAUCGUUACUUCGGUGUUUCCGGGGUCCGUGGUGGUGUAGGGUGGUUCUCCGGCGUUUAUUGUGGUGUUCAUAUUGGGAGGGUUAGGGGAAAGUUGUCACGUUUGGUUGUUUAUAUGUGUGAGCAAUUGGGAAUUGAAGAAAAGGUCUUUUAACAUUGAGUUGAAUGAAGCUUUAAGAAUUUAUUUAUUUUUUAGAACUUACAUAUAUGUAUUUUAUACAUAUAACCAAGGGAGGUGUAUACAUUGUUUUAGAUAAGUAUUUCUUAAUUUUUUGUUCAUCGAGGUAUUUGUUAUACUAUAAUGGCAAGUAGAGAUAAAAUUUCAAUAUCAUUCCACACGAAAAAGUGCAAUUACAAAGCAAUGGCAGGUAGUCGGGCAACAAGUUGUGCCGCCACUCCCUUUUGA